CCCUUAGAUGUUCUGGGCCGCACGCGCGCUACACUGAUGCAUUCAACGAGUCUAAAACCUGCUCUGAUAGGGGUGGGUAAUCUUUUGAAUGUGCAUCGUGAUUGGGAUAGAUGAUUGCAAUUUUUCAUCUUCAACGAGGAAUGCCUAGUAAACGCAAGUCAUCAGCUUGCAUUGAUUACGUCCCUGCCCUUUGUACACACCGCCCGUCGCUCCUACCGAUUGAAUGAUCCGAUGAAUAUCAUGGAUUGAGGAUGCAAGUAGGUUCGCCUAUCUUCAUCUUCGAGAAGUGAAGUAAAUCUUAUCAUCUAGAGGAAGGAGAAGUCGUAACA
rnacentral:rRNA from 1 species